UACGUAGGGUGCAAGCGUUGUCCGGAAUUAUUGGGCGUAAAGAGCUCGUAGGCGGUUUGUCGCGUCGAAUGUGAAAACCCGGGGCUCAACCCCGGGCCUGCAUUCGAUACGGGCAGACUAGAGUUCGGUAGGGGAGUCUGGAAUUCCUGGUGUAGCGGUGAAAUGCGCAGAUAUCAGGAGGAACACCGGUGGCGAAGGCGGCACUCUGGGCCGGUACUGACGCUGAGGAGCGAAAGCGUGGGGAGCGAACAGG
rnacentral:rRNA from 1 species